rnacentral:rRNA from 1 species
CACUGAAUGAGCUAGGGGGUCCCACAGACUUACCAAACUCAAUCAAACUCCGAAUGUCGACGAGUACAGCAUAGCAGACAGACUAUGGGUGCUAAGGUCCAUAGUCGAGAGGGAAAAAGCCCAGACCGCCAUCUAAGGUCCCUAAAUCAUGACUAAGUGUUAAAGGAUGUGAGAAAACCAAAACAACUAGGAUGUUGGCUUAGAAGCAGCCAUCAUUUAAAGAAAGCGUAAUAGCUCACUGGUCGAGUCGGCCUGCGCGGAAGAUGUAACGGGGCU